rnacentral:rRNA from 1 species
UUCCGUAGGUGAACCUGCGGAAGGAUCAUUAACAAAUAUCCCAACCUACUCAACCAAGCCAAUCUGUUGCUGGCGAAAGCUAGCAGCUUCAAACCUAACCAAAAGAAGUAUAACUAAGCUUCAAACAAAAACCAAAUCCUCAACGAUGGAUAUCUUGGUUCCUACUACGAUGAAGAACGCAGCGAAGUGCGAUAAGCAAUGCGAAUUGCAGAGCCGAGAGUCAUCAGAUUUUUGAACGUAACUGACACCGGAGGGUUCUCCCUUCGGUAUGCUUCUUUCAGUGUGUGAUUCUCUCAUCACCCAAACCUUAAUGCGGUAGAUGCCCUUCUACUGCUAAGCUCGAAAGCACUCUGAACCCUGCAGCGAAAGUCUCCGGACCGACGCACUCAAUGCAGUAGUCACAUUCUCAAAUGUGAACUCAUUGAGAGUAGAGUCAGCGCAUGUUUACAUGCCAGUGCUUAGACACAUAAAUUUUCUCAGCAUCUGAAAUGAAGUAGGACCACCCGCUGAACUUAAGCAUAUCAAUAAGCGGA